CCCUAGCCCCGAUAGAAGUGAAAAUCCUUUUGUAUCUCGUCUUUUCGGACGAGACACAAAAGAUUGUAACGAAUAGCGGGAUUAGCU
rnacentral:sRNA from 1 species